AUUGGGGAAGAGAAAUUCUAAACUGCUUCUUAUCCAUGUGUAAGGAGGGGAUUUCUGAUUCUCGAUGAAAGUAUUUUCAGCAAUUCUAAGUCAGGGCAAAAUGAGGAAGUGCUUCCUUUGACAGAAAUAGCCUUAAGUGAAAGGAUUUGUGAAAGGGUGGGGCCUGUGGAAAGAAUUAAAGCAGAUAUAAACUUAAAGUCAGAGUUCCAGGUGCUGAGAGGACCAAAAGACACCUGAGUUGUCACUGAGCUUUGGUGCCAGGAGGAAUGGACAAGAUCCUGAGAGCAUCAAGUUUAAUUCUGUGGCUUCUACUAGGCUGGGUGAGUGGCCAACAGAAGGAAAAAGGUGACCAGCAGCAGGUGAAACAGAGCCCUCAAUCUUUGAUCAUCCAGGAAGGAGAGAUCUCAGUUCUGAACUGUACUUAUGUGGACAGUACAUUGGAUUACUUCCCAUGGUACCGGCAAUACCCCGGUGAAGGGCCUGUGUUCCUGAUAGCCAUACGUUCAGUUGUGAGUACAGAGGAAGGAAGAUUCACAGUUUCCUUCAAUAAAAGUGCCAAACAGUUCUCAUUGACCAUCACGGCUUCCCAGCCUGGAGACUCCGCCACCUACUUCUGUGCAGCAAGGGCACAGUGCUCUGCAGGCACCUGCAGCCCGUACCCAAACCUGCAGCUGAGGCUCCAGCCAAACCCUGCCAUGUAG